GCCGGCCUAGCUCAAUUGGUAGAGUAACUGACUUGUAAUCAGUAGGUUGGGGGUUCAAGUCCUCUGGCCGGCACCA
rnacentral:tRNA from 3 species